rnacentral:lncRNA from 1 species
CUGAACUCUCAUCCCAGCCACAUCUUUCAAUGACUAACACAAUUAUCAUUUUGAAGGGAGCAGAAACCUAUCACUUUUGAGCGACUAUGAUGUGCCAGGCCUUGUUCAAAAACUCAAUGGCAGAGACCCACGUAUUGAGGGACUGAAGUUUCAGCAGCACAUGAGUGACCUUCGAAAUGGAUCCUCCAUCACCUUCAGAUGACUGCAGCCCUGGAUCACAACUUCACCACAACCUUGAGAGUGACCCUCACCUUGAACCUCCCAGCCAAGCUGUUCUCAGAAGGCCAGCUAACUUCCAAAAUUACCCCAGGAUUCAUCAUAUCAAGGGGCAAAUGGCUUCCUGUUUCUCUCUGUGUCCUCUCAGGGCAUUAGUGUCUGGCCCUCUCUCAAGAAAAAUGCCACACAUGGUGUUCCAGGCUACUCUCUCAAGAGAUUAUGUAAGUAAUGACUCCUAAACUGGGAAAAGACAUACAACUCUGCAGAUGAGUUUGAACUCUUUUCUCCUCCCUUCCUCCAGGUGGUUCCUUUCCAAAGAUGAUAUAAUUAGCAAUAAAGUCAAUAAAAUCUGGAUUUUUUUCUAACUCAUCCAAAAACUGUUACCCAG